GAUGAACGCUAGCUACAGGCUUAACACAUGCAAGUCGAGGGGCAUCAGGAAGAAAGCUUGCUUUCUUUGCUGGCGACCGGCGCACGGGUGAGUAACACGUAUCCAACCUGCCCUUUACUCGGGGAUAGCCUUUCGAAAGAAAGAUUAAUACCCGAUGGGAUAAUUAUUCCGACUACGUGGUUUACAGUUUAUUAAAGGUAUUUACCGGGUAAAGGUACGUUAAGGGGGAUUGGGACGUUUCCGAGUUUACGGUUAGUUUAGGGUUGUAGGGUUAACGGCGUUACCGACCCAAGACCUUCCGUA
rnacentral:rRNA from 1 species